rnacentral:rRNA from 1 species
UACGGAGGGUGCAAGCGUUAAUCGGAAUUACUGGGCGUAAAGCGCACGUAGGCGGAUAUUUAAGUCAGGGGUGAAAUCCCGGGGCUCAACCUCGGAACUGCCUUUGAUACUGGGUAUCUUGAGUAUGGAAGAGGUAAGUGGAAUUGCGAGUGUAGAGGUGAAAUUCGUAGAUAUUCGGAGGAACACCAGUGGCGAAGGCGGCUCACUGGCUCGAUACUGACGCUGAGGUGCGAAAGCGUGGGGAGCAAAC